UACGAAGGGGGCUAGCGUUGCUCGGAAUCACUGGGCGUAAGGCGCACGUAGGCGGAUUGCUAAGUCAGGGGUGAAAUCCUGGAGCUCAACUCCAGAACUGCCUUUGAUACUGGCGAUCUCGAGUCCGGGAGAGGUGAGUGGAACUGCGAGUGUAGAGGUGAAAUUCGUAGAUAUUCGCAAGAACACCAGUGGCGAAGGCGGCUCACUGGCCCGGUACUGACGCUGAGGUGCGAAAGCGUGGGGAGCAAACAGG
rnacentral:rRNA from 1 species